UCGCACAUAGCUUGGGAAUUGGUGUUAUUUUUUAAACCUGGAACCAUGUUUCUAAAUGAAUAGAAAUCUUUUCAAACAUACUCUGCUUGCUUGUAGUCAAUUUAAUCGACUGCACUUAUUAUUUAUCUUCGCACGAUUCGGCAGCAGAUCAGUUUGUCCAAACGUCGUAGAAGGAAGCAGUUGCUCUCGAUCAGCUUUCCACUGAUAGCAGUUGCCAAAUUAAAGAUGAAGGCCCAAUACACCAUGCUCAUUGCGGUUCUCUUAUUCGUCGCCGCUUCUGUGGCGUCAGCCGAGGACGGCACGUGCGAAGAAAACUGCAGAACUGUUCAUGGUCCUGAAUGUUUCGAUGGAUGUGGUCCAGCUGACAACCAGGACGAGUCGUGCGUAACGGGAUGCAAAGAGUGGAUAGCUUACUGUGUCGACGAUUAUUGCAAGAACAGCUAGACUACAGAUAGUACGGACAAAACAUAAAGGAUCAUGGCUAAAUCGCUUCUCAAUGAAUUUGUACCUCUCUUGUCCGAAUAAACUAAGGUUCUGAAACGA